ensembl:lncRNA
UUUCACGAACUUUUCCCCUCGACCUAAGGUCCCCGUAUCUGUGAAACCGCCUUGGAAAAGCCUCUACACACAAGCAAUGCCUUGUUCCUGGCCAACUACCACAGGCCUGCUCCAGCACUCCUGUCCCUGAGGCUCCCAUCCCUCUGAGACUGGCUGUGCCCGGGAGAAAGAGGAGGAGGAGGAAGAGGAGGAGGACUCUCCGGAGAUCAGAAGUGAGAAGUUUUACACAACCGGGGAAAUGGAGGAAAAACCCGAGUCUUAAAGCCCCAGUCGUUGCCUAUCUGAGCCUCACCACUACUCACUCCAAAUUAAUGCAAGGAAGAUUUUGACCUUGAGGGUAAUAAUACAAACCAUCAAACCUCAGGCUUGUUUGCUGACACCCAGCUUACUCUCAGUCUCUUCCUUGGAUCGCUUUUGCUGCAUAGCCCUCCGUUUGCCCAUUUGCACCCUCUCUUAUCUCCCUUCUAAGUUCUCUUUCCUCUUCUCUUGAGUCUCCUACCCCUCCCAGAGGCAACCGAUGCUGACAGACCUGGAGUUUAUUUAGAGUAGGCGCCCUGGGACCCAGGGGGCAUCCAAGGGCCUCCCCAGCGCAGACUGUGAAGGCAUAAGGUGUUGAGUGUCUGCUUUUGCCUAAUCUUUAACAUAAAGGCAAGGGAACACUCUUUCCUCCCCAUCUCCCAGGCCCCUGUCCCCAGUCACCCCCCAGCACUGUUUCUGGGGCUGUCUUCUCUCCAUCUGAGCCUAGUUUCAGCUGCAAAGGAAAAGACCACAACUUCCCAGCUCCUUUUAUAAGUGUCUUUCUCUUCAUGCCAGCAGGUCGGGUUGAACCAGACUAGCACGGAAAAGGGAAGGUGGAAAAGAAUCUGAGGGAAAGAGGGUACCCUUCGGAAAACAAGGAAUAUUCAAGUACCAGGUGCGAAAGUUUUAAAUAGAAACCCGCUUACAUUGCACUUGGAGUAACAACAGCUGGCUGGAGGUCCUGGGGCUCCUCAGAAGACGAAGAAUUUUUCCGGGACAGUCUCAACAUCACGUGAAGCCAUUGUAGCAAAGGCUACAGCUCAGUGGCCCCCUGUCUAUGCAUCUCAAAUUGCGAGCUUAGGGAUUUAUUUUCUAACUUGUACACUAAACCUCUCACAUUCCACCCGCACACAAUGACUCUGUUUUUCAAAAUGCUGUCAUACAUGGGAAUUUUAUGACAUCAAACCCUUAAAAAUGUGGAAACUUUGGUUUCAAAAUACUUAAUAGGGGAAAAUAAUAAACCCCUUGAUUCACAGUUUCUUUGCUUGCUUACGGUUCGUUUCUGACACUGUGACUGGCGCGUGUUUGGGAGGCCGGGUUUCGGAGGCAUAAUCAAGUAUUCAUAUAUGCCUGGUCUUGGCACCGCAGAACGCUCCCUCUAAUCUGGAAAUAUUUUCCCUUCAGACAGGAAUAGAGAGGUUACAUUUGGGUCACUAGCAAUCUCACAAAAGGCUUUUCAAACGAGAUGAAAGAAAAGAAGUUCUGAUUUGUUGGGAGAAAUCGGAGAGCUUUCCAACUCGAGGGAUGUGGUGAGCGUCCAGGAGCGCGUCCAGGAGCGGCAUCUCUGGGGUGGGAAGCCGGGAGCACCCCCGACGGAUGGGCUGAGCGAGAAGGACAGGGUUACAGCCGGCGGAGGAGGCGAUGGAGCCCCUGCUUCCUCCAGGUGUCCCUUACGCAGACUUUCCAGGCAGGCUGUUGGCUGCAGGCGGCCGUCCCUCUUCCUGUGGCUUGGGCAUCAGCUUUCCAGCUCUCUCUGGAAAGCCUGUGUAAUGGCCGCCUGCCUGCAUGCGCUGCCUCGCCCACGACCCCAACAGUUAAACAGCUCUGUUCACAACCAGGGGAGGGUGACAACAUUUCAGAUGCAUUUCCUCCAGGCAGGACGAGUUGGCCCCAGCGGAGCGUACACCUGCGUUCCUCAAUCAUAGGAGGCUCUGUCUUUCCUCUCGCAUGACCCCGCUUUCCUACGUCUGUUGGGAAAGCAGAAUAUUUAGAAUCAAAGGGGCAGCCAGGGGAGGGAGAGAGGCGAAGUGCUGCCCAGCGCCUCAAAUGUCGCUGAGGAAUCAGGAGACACAGUUUCCUUCAGCUUAAAGAACUUACUUAGUUCCUUAAAGUCGAAUGAAUUCCUCAAGCACUGGAGAAACUUUUGCAAAAAUAUCCAGAGCCCAGACCAGUGCUUGGCGUGCAGCACACACUCCAUGAACGGCGUGGAGUGCGGACGCAGAGCACUGUUUCU